rnacentral:rRNA from 1 species
AGUCGAGGGGUAACGACAUCUUCGGAUGGGCGACGACCGGCGCACGGGUGCGUAACGCGUAUGCAACCUACCUUUAACUGGAGGAUAGCCCCGAGAAAUCGGGAUUAAUACUCCAUAGAAAUGAGAUUCGGCAUCGUUUUUCAUUUAAAGCUCCGGCGGUUAGAGAUGGGCAUGCGUGACAUUAGUUAGUUGGUGAGGUAACGGCUCACCAAGACUACGAUGUCUAGGGGUUCUGAGAGGAUGAUCCCCCACACUGGUACUGAGACACGGACCAGACUCCUACGGGAGGCAGCAGUGAGGAAUAUUGGUCAAUGGACGCAAGUCUGAACCAGCCAUGCCGCGUGCAGGAUGACGGCCCUAUGGGUUGUAAACUGCUUUUAUUAAGGAAUAAACCCCCGGACUUGUUCGGGGCUGAACGUACUUAAAGAAUAAGCAUCGGCUAACUCCGUGCCAGCAGCCGCGGUAAUACGGAGGAUGCAAGCGUUAUCCGGAUUCAUUGGGUUUAAAGGGUUCGCAGGCGGCGUAUUAAGUCAGUGGUGAAAUCCCUCGGCUCAACCGAGGAACUGCCAUUGAUACUGGUAUGCUAGAGUAUAGUUGGCGUAGGCGGAAUAUUUCAUGUAGCGGUGAAAUGCUUAGAUAUGAAAUAGAACACCGAUCGCGAAGGCAGCUUACGAAACUAUAACUGACGCUCAGGAACGAAAGCGUGGGGAGCGAACAGGAUUAGAUACCCUGGUAGUCCACGCUGUAAACGAUGAUUACUCGUUGUCGGCGAUACACAGUCGGUGGCUAAGCGAAAGUGAUAAGUAAUCCACCUGGGGAGUACGAUCGCAAGGUUGAAACUCAAAGGAAUUGACGGGGGCCCGCACAAGCGGAGGAGCAUGUGGUUUAAUUCGAUGAUACGCGAGGAACCUUACCUGGGCUUAAAUGUAGAGUGCAUGAUUGGGAAACCAGUCUUUUCUUCGGAACUCUUUACAGUGCUGCAU